GACGAACGCUGGCGGCGUGCUUAACACAUGCAAGUCGAACGGAAAGGCCCUGCUUUCGUGGGGUGCUCGAGUGGCGAACGGGUGAGUAACACGGGAGUAACCUGCCCUUGACUUUGGGAUAACUUCAGGAAACUGGGGCUAAUACCGGAUAGGAGCUCCUGCUGCAUGGUGGGGGUUGGAAAGUUUCGGCGGUUGGGGAUGGACUCUCGGCUUAUCAGCUUGUUGGUGGGGUAGUGGCUUACCAAGGCUUUGACGGGUAGCCGGCCUGAGAGGGUGACCGGCCACAUUACGACUGAGAUACGGCCCAGACGCCUACGGGAGGCAGCAGUGGGAAGUAUUGCACAAUGGGCGGAAGCCUAAUGCAGCAACGCCGCGUGCGGGAUGACGGCCUUCGGGUUGUAAACCGCUUUCGCCUGUGACGAAGCGUGAGUGACGGUAAUGUAUAAAGAAGCACCGGCUAACUACGUG
rnacentral:rRNA from 1 species